rnacentral:rRNA from 1 species
ACCUACGGGACGCAGCAGUGAGGAAUAUUGGUCAAUGGGCGGGAGCCUGAACCAGCCAAGUCGCGUGAGGGAAGACGGUCCUAUGGAUUGUAAACCUCUUUUGUCGGGGAGCAAAGAGGCCUCGUGAGGUCAAAAGCGAGAGUACCCGAAGAAAAAGCAUCCGCUAACUCCGUGCCAGCAGCCGCGGUAAUACGGAGGAUGCGAGCGUUAUCCGGAUUUAUUGGGUUUAAAGGGUGCGCAGGCGGAGGUGCAAGUCAGCGGUCAAAUUGCGGGGCUCAACCCCGUACUGCCGUUGACA